rnacentral:rRNA from 1 species
GAUGAACGCUGGCGGCGUGCCUAAUACAUGCCAGUCGAGCGAACGGACGAGAAGCUUGCUUUUCUGAUGUUAGCGGCGGACGGGUGAGUAACACGUGGAUAACCUACCUAUAAGACUGGGAUAACUUCGGGAAACCGGAGCUAAUACCGGAUAAUAUUUUGAACCGCAUGGUUCAAAAGUGAAAGACGGUCUUGCUGUCACUUAUAGAUGGAUCCGCGCUGCAUUAGCUAGUUGGUAAGGUAACGGCUUACCAAGGCAACGAUGCAUAGCCGACCUGAGAGGGUGAUCGGCCACACUGGAACUGAGACACGGUCCAGACUCCUACGGGAGGCAGCAGUGGGGAAUAUUCCGCAAUGGGCGAAAGCCUGACGGAGCAACGCCGCGUGAGUGAUGAAGGUCUUCGGAUCGUAAAACUCUGUUAUUAGGGAAGAACAUAUGUGUAAGUAACUGUGCACAUCUUGACGGUACCUAAUCAGAAAGCCACGGCUAACUACGUG